UACGUAGGCAGCGAGCGUUGUUCGGAGUUACUGGGCGUAAAGAGUGCGUAGGCGGUUUUCUAAGUUUGGUGUGAAAUCUCCCGGCUUAACUGGGAGGGUGCGCCGAAGACUGGAAGGCUAGAGUAUGGGAGAGGUAAGCGGAAUUCCCGGUGUAGCGGUGAAAUGCGUAGAGAUCGGGAGGAAGGCCGGUGGCGAAGGCGGCGCUCUGGAACAUACCUGACGCUGAGACACGAAAGCGUGGGGAGCAAACAGG
rnacentral:rRNA from 1 species